rnacentral:rRNA from 1 species
GGCUUCUUGUUGGUGAAAGAGAAGAGGUCUGGCCUGCCCGGUGAGGGAAACCUUAAACGGUCGCAGCUACCACUGUGCGAAGGUAGCAUAAUAGGUCGUCCUUUAAUUGGGGGAAAGUAUGAAUGGUCGGAUGUUGGAAAUUCUUUAUUAGGGGUGAGUGUUGAAUUUUACUUUCUAGUGCAAAGGCGGGAAUGAUUUUAUCAGACGAGAAGACCCUGUUGAGCUUGGUAGUACUAAGCCUGUAAUGGUUUCAGGAGUAGAUUUUUUCGGGGUUGAAAAGAAGGGAGAUUGAAUGCCUUCUUUUAUUUAAUAAAGAUCCAAUAUGAUUGAUUUGAAGAAGAUAGCUACCACAGGGAUAACAGCGCAAUCUUUUUGAUAAGGCCAUAUUUAAGGAAGGGUUUGCGACCUCGAUGUUGAAUCAGAAUUUCUAUUAGGUGUAGCAGCUUAGUAAGUGGGACUGUUCGUCCUUUAAAAUUCU